AGGGGUGUGGCUCAGUGGUAGAGUGCUUGCUUGGCAAGUAUGAGGUCCUGAGUUCAAUUCCCAGCACCAUUA